rnacentral:rRNA from 1 species
AUUGAACGCUGGCGGCAUGCCUUACACAUGCAAGUCGAACGGUAACGGGCCUUCGGGUGCCGACGAGUGGCGAACGGGUGAGUAAUACAUCGGAACGUGCCCGAUCGUGGGGGAUAACGAGGCGAAAGCUUUGCUAAUACCGCAUACGAUCUACGGAUGAAAGCAGGGGACCGCAAGGCCUUGCGAGGACGGAGCGGCCGAUGGCAGAUUAGGUAGUUGGUGGGAUAAAAGCUUACCAAGCCGACGAUCUGUAGCUGGUCUGAGAGGAUGAUCAGCCACACUGGGACUGAGACACGGCCCAGACUCCUACGGGAGGCAGCAGUGGGGAAUUUUGGACAAUGGGCGCAAGCCUGAUCCAGUCAUGCCGCGUGCAGGAUGAAGGCCUUCGGGUUGUAAACUGCUUUUGUACGGAACGAAAAGCCUUCUUUUAAUACAGGAGGGUCAUGACGGUACCGUAAGAAUAAGCACCGGCUAACUACGUG